GAAAAUGACACAAAAUCUUCAGCCAGUUUUACUUCAGCAACUCGGCGACUUAAUACACCCAAAAAUAAUGCAGCAGGUGUCGGCUUCCCAAAGAGAUUCUGGAGGUGUGUGUGUCCGGCCCGGCUCUCCAGGAGGGUUGGUGGAGCCGCUGGCCUGCAGGGGGGUGCAGCCAGCGUGCCGGAUCAACGUGUGCAUCCUAAUCCUCCACAUGUGGCUUCACGGGCAUCCGAGAGGCUACGUCGCCGUCGCCGCAGAGAUCAGCGGGAGCGAGGGGUUUCUGGGUAAGCCCGCGCCGCCGCCGACCCCCAUCUUGAUAGGGGUU
ensembl:lncRNA